GUUAGGCUGUGAAGCGAAGGGACUGGGGAGCUCUAAGCUAAAAAGACCCUUUACCUCUCUAAGCCUCAGUUUCUUCUUCAGUAAAACAAGGAAACAGUCUGUUUUGUCUUAUUGUUACAGGGUUCUGGAAUUCUGUAGACUCUUUCCAGGUUCUUGGUGUCCUGAAUAAAGAAUUGGGCCAAAAAAGUAGUGAGGAUGAAAGACAAGGUGGCCAGGCCCAAGCCUUGUAAUACAUCAAGUCAGUGUCACAGAGCUCCCAGUCCUCGCAGGCCGUGCUGGCUGCUGGGAGGCAUAGGUUACACAGAAGCAGCUGCCCUCAGUGCCUAUGAACUGGAUGAGUCUGCCUUGAAGAUGUGUACUGAGUAAGCGUGGUGC